UGGUUGUUGUUCUGUCAUGCACUGAGCA
rnacentral:piRNA from 1 species